GCUUUAAGUGUGCUUCUCUUUUACAUCGCCUUCAUCAGGUCUGGUUUUCUCAGGUUAGGUUGAAACUUGUGGGUCUGUAGCAAUUCAAUAUGCCUGAAAACAAGCCUGUAAUUGGGCUUUCAUGGGAACCAAAGUUACCUCAAUUAUCAUUUGGGACCAAAAAGAGCUCCAAUGAGGUGCCUGGGGCAAGUGCAGUAUACAAACCUAGUUCGGAACUCAUGGACGGCCUAUUUGUUCCGCCCAAUGAUCCCAAAAAGGUGAACAAGCUUCUACGAAAACAAAUCAAGGAUACAACUGGCAAAAAUUGGUUUGAUAUGCCUGCCCCAACGAUUACUCCAGAGCUGAAAAGAGAUCUCCAGCUGUUAAAGCUAAGGGGUGCCAUGGAUCCGAAAAGGCAUUACAAGAAGAGUGGCUCAAAAUCAAAAACAUUACCUAAAUAUUUCCAGGUCGGCACAGUAAUAGAGCCAGCAUCUGAAUACUACUCUGGUAGACUGACUAAGAAGGAGAGAAAGACAACACUUACUGAGGAGCUACUUUCUGACCGUAAACUUGGGGAGUACAGGAAACGCAAAGUUCGCGAGAUUGAAGAACGCAAUCGGCCAGGUGGAGUUGACAAGUGGAAGAACAGAGGUCCACAGUCAAGGAAGCGUGCAAAGCAAAGGAGGCAUUGAAGCUAUAGUGUUCACGAAACGUUUCUUACCAGUUUCCCGUCUGACCAGUCGAAGAGCAUUGGAAUCUUUAAUGAGAGGUGUACCUGCCAUUCUGGAAAAACUAUUAGGAUGUGCCGUAAACAAGGCAAGUUUCACAAAACAUCUACAAAUCCUUGAUGCUAAUUACACCGGCAUACUUCUAAUACGUGUUUCUAGCACUCCAACAGAAAUAGUCGUCAUCAAUUUUGAACUGUGUUACUGAUGUUCGUCGUGUAUAUUUGCCUUCUCAUGGCUUAUUCUAUUCUUAUUGUUCUGGUAUCAGAAUGUUAAGUUGUAUUGUUGUUU
rnacentral:misc_RNA from 1 species